GAAAUGCGAUAAGUAUUGUGAAUUGCAGAAUUCAGUGAAUCAUCGAAUCUUUGAACGCACCUUGCGCUCCUUGGUAUUCCGAGGAGCAUGCCUGUUUGAGUGUCAUGGAAUUCUCAACUCUAUUUGCUUUUGUGAAUAGAGCUUGGAUUUGGAGGUUUAUUGCUGGUACUUGUGAUCGGCUCCUCUUGAAUGCAUUAGCUCGAACCUUUGCGGAUCAGCUAUCGGUGUGAUAAUUGUCUACGCCGUUGCAGUGAAGCAUAUCAAUGGGCUCGGCUUCCAAUCGUCCUUUACUGGACAAUGACUUUGACCUUUGACCUCAAAUCAGGUAGGAUUACCCGCUGAACUUAAGC
rnacentral:misc_RNA from 1 species